CUCAUGUCUUUGCUCAUCUAGACCAUUCACCCCCAGCCCCUAUUACCUGGCACUGUGUGUGGCACCCGGGAAGUGCUCAGAAGGUGUCUGAGACACAAACAGCUUCAUGGGGAAGGAGCAGCAGGUCCCUGCUCUGGGCCUUCUGUUCCCUGCAUAGACCCAGGGAGGGACAGUGUCUGGCUCAGGAGGCCCUGCAGGGACAAAGCCAAGACCCCCACCUUCCAUCACCUGCUGGGCUCCCAAAGCAUCAUCCAAACAGAAGCCACAUGGAGAAAGUGAAGGGCAGCCCUGACACCUGGACAUGAGCACUUUCAUGGGCAGCACCUCAGACAAGGAAAGGAGCACAGAUCACACCUGACUCACCUGCAACCUUCAGCUCCACCUGGGCUGUUGCAUAGAAAUCUCCAUCUUGGAAAUAACAGAGGUAGGU